UUCCCUGCAUAGUGCGUGUAGACUGAAUUUUUAGAACCAACAAGUUUAAAACGGGAAUCUGCCUUUAAUUGUGGCGUGUAAGCUUGCAUUUAUGUAAGAAACCCAUUAGCAAUUAACAAGAUACCCACCUACGAGAGUAGGUCCUUAAAAAUUCUUUAACAUCUUACGGCUAAGGCGGGGUUU
rnacentral:other from 1 species